rnacentral:lncRNA from 1 species
GGGUGUGAGGAAGUCUUGUGUGUGAGAAGGAAGUCCAUAUCCUUCCAAGAGAAAAAGAAAGAAAAGAAAGAAAAGUGGGUGCAAGAUUUCUGGUGAGUUCCCUAGAGUUUUAGCCUGGGGUUCGGGAAGUGAGAAAGUGAGCUACGAGUGUCGUGAGCCCACAAAAUCUCAGGAAGAUCUUCAACAUCCUCUCAAGCACGUCUGUUGA